rnacentral:rRNA from 1 species
AUGCAGUCGAGCGAACAGAUAAGGAGCUUGCUCCUUUGACGUUAGCGGCGGACGGGUGAGUAACACGUGGAUAACCUACCUAUAAGACUGGGAUAACUUCGGGAAACCGGAGCUAAUACCGGAUAACAUAUUGAACCGCAUGGUUCAAUAGUGAAAGGCGGCUUUGCUGUCACUUAUAGAUGGAUCCGCGCCGUAUUAGCUAGUUGGUAAGGUAACGGCUUACCAAGGCAACGAUACGUAGCCGACCUGAGAGGGUGAUCGGCCACACUGGAACUGAGACACGGUCCAGACUCCUACGGGAGGCAGCAGUAGGGAAUCUUCCGCAAUGGGCGAAAGCCUGACGGAGCAACGCCGCGUGAGUGAUGAAGGUCUUCGGAUCGUAAAACUCUGUUAUCAGGGAAGAACAAAUGUGUAAGUAACUGUGCACAUCUUGACGGUACCUGAUCAGAAAGCCACGGCUAACUACGUGCCAGCAGCCGCGGUAAUACGUAGGUGGCAAGCGUUAUCCGGAAUUAUUGGGCGUAAAGCGCGCGUAGGCGGUUUUUUAAGUCUGAUGUGAAAGCCCACGGCUCAACCGUGGAGGGUCAUUGGAAACUGGAAAACUUGAGUGCAGAAGAGGAAAGUGGAAUUCCAUGUGUAGCGGUGAAAUGCGCAGAGAUAUGGAGGAACACCAGUGGCGAAGGCGACUUUCUGGUCUGUAACUGACGCUGAUGUGCGAAAGCGUGGGGGAUCAAACAGGAUUAGAUACCCUGGUAGUCCACGCCGUAAACGAUGAGUGCUAAGUGUUAGGGGGUUUCCGCCCCUUAGUGCUGCAGCUAACGCAUUAAGCACUCCGCCUGGGGAGUACGACCGCAAGGUUGAAACUCAAAGGAAUUGACGGGGACCCGCAC